AAGAUCGAAGAUGAGGAGCUGGUCUCCUACAUCCUUACGGGUCUGGACAGGGAAUAUGAUCCCGUGGUGUCGGCGGUGGCGGCACGUGUCGAACCAAUCUCAGUUGGGGAACUUUAUACCCAGCUGACAAGCUUUGAGC
rfam:Sorghum bicolor cultivar BTx623 chromosome 9, whole genome shotgun sequence.